UCCAGUGGCGUCGCUGUGGGCGCUACCUCGGUGCCUCCGACUGCUCUUUGGCACCAGUCAGGUACCUGAAGUAGCGCGCGCAGCGCCCCUCA
rnacentral:pre_miRNA from 13 species